rnacentral:lncRNA from 1 species
ACGCGAUGAUCGACUUUCCUCAAGGCGGGCCGAGCAUCCGGGCUCGGGAAGGCGGCCAAAACGGGCCAAACACCCGUUGCCAUACCCAUUUUCUGCAACUGCUGGUUGAGGCCGAUGGAGGGCUGCACGGCGGCGGAUCGGGCGGAGGAACGGCGUAGAAGGACUGCCGGUGGCUCGGAUGGACGAGGCGGCGGCCAAGCGAGGCGUCACGGUGGCCGGAGGGAGCUCCGGCAGCUCCUACGCGAGCUGAACAGCAGCUCGGGACGACGAGCCGGGCGAGAGGAAGGCUGGAACGACGGCCAGGACGGCGGUGACGCGCUGGAGGCGCGCGAGAGGCGGACGACGC